AUUGAACGCUGGCGGCAGGCCUAACACAUGCAAGUCGAGCGGAGCGGCGGACGGGUGCGUAAUGCCUAGGAAUCUGCCUGGUAGUGGGGGAUCACGUUCAGAAACGGGCGCUAAUACCGCAUACUAUCAGAUUAGCCUAGGUCGGAUUAGCUAGUUGGGGGGGUAAAGGCCUACCAGGGCGACGAUCCGUAACUGUUCUGCGAGGAUGAUCAGUCACACUGGAAUGGGGACACGGUCCAAACUCCGACGGAGGGCAGCAGGGGGGAAUAUUGGACAAUGGGCGAAAGCCUGAUCCAGCCAAGCGUCGUGUGUGAAGAAGGUCUGCGGAUUGUAAAGAACUUUAAGUUGGGAGACGUUACCAACAGAAUAAGAACCGGCUAACAUCGUGCCAGCAGCCGCGGUAAUU
rnacentral:rRNA from 1 species